rnacentral:rRNA from 1 species
CCUGCCGUAUGCAGGGGGAUAACAGUUAGAAAUGACUGCUAAUACCGCAUAAGCGCACAGUAUCGCAUGAUACAGUGUGAAAAACGAUAGUGGCAUACGAUGGACCCGCGUCUGAUUAGCUAGUUGGCGGGGUAACGGCCCACCAAGGCGACGAUCAGUAGCCGGCCUGAGAGGGUGAACGGCCACAUUGGAACUGAGACACGGUCCAAACUCCUACGGGAGGCAGCAGUGGGGGAUAUUGCACAAUGGGGGAAACCCUGAUGCAGCGACGCCGCGUGAGUGAAGAAGUAUUUCGGUAUGUAAAGCUCUAUCAGCAGGAAAGAUAAUGACGGUACCUGACUAAGAAGCACCGGCUAAAUACGUGCCAGCAGCCGCGGUAAUACGUAUGGUGCAAGCGUUAUCCGGAUUUACUGGGUGUAAAGGGAGCGCAGACGGCAUGGCAAGCCAGAUGUGAAAGGUGGGGGCUCAACCCCCAAGCUGCAUUUGGAACUGUCAAGCUAGAGUAUCGGAGAGGUAAGUGGAAUUCCUAGUGUAGCGGUGAAAUACGUAAAUAUUAGGAGGAACACCAGUGGCGAAGGCGGCUUACUG